rnacentral:rRNA from 1 species
GAUGAACGCUGGCUACAGGCUUAACACAUGCGAGUCGAGGGGAAACGACGGGGAAGCUUGCUUCCCCGGGCGUCGACCGGCGCACGGGUGAGUAACGCGUAUCCAACCUGCCUCUGACUGAGGGAUAACCCGUCGAAAGUCGGCCUAAUACCUCAUGGCAUCGUCUGCGGGCAUCCAACGACGAUUAAAGAUUUCAUCGGUCAGAGAUGGGGAUGCGUCUGAUUAGCUUGUUGGCGGGGUGACGGCCCACCAAGGCGACGAUCAGUAGGGGUUCUGAGAGGAAGGUCCCCCACAUUGGAACUGAGACACGGUCCAAACUCCUACGGGAGGCAGCAGUGAGGAAUAUUGGUCAAUGGGCGAGAGCCUGAACCAGCCAAGUAGCGUGCAGGAUGACGGCCCUAUGGGUUGUAAACUGCUUUUAUGCGGGGAUAAAGUGAGGGACGUGUCCUUCAUUGCAGGUACCGCAUGAAUAAGGACCGGCUAAUUCCGUG